UACGAAGGGGGCUAGCGUUGCUCGGAAUCACUGGGCGUAAAGGGUGCGUAGGCGGGUCUUUUAAGUCAGGGGUGAAAUCCUGGAGCUCAACUCCAGAACUGCCUUUGAUACUGAAGAUCUUGAGUUCGGGAGAGGUGAGUGGAACUGCGAGUGUAGAGGUGAAAAUUCGUAGAUAUUCGCAGGAACACCAGUGGCGAAGGCGGCUCACUGGCCCGAUACUGACGCUGAUGCACGAAAGCGUGGGGAGCAAACAGG
rnacentral:rRNA from 1 species